CCCUUAGAUGUUCUGGGCCGCACGCGCGCUACACUGACGAAGUCAGCGAGCAUCUCCUACGCCGAAAGGUGCGGGGAAUCUUGUGAAACUUUGUCGUGCUGGGGAUUGAUUUUUGAAAUUCUUGAUCAUCAACGAGGAAUUCCUAGUAAGCGCAAGUCAGCAGCUUGCGUUGAUUACGUCCCUGCCCUUUGUACACACCGCCCGUCGCUACUACCGAUUGAAUGGUUUAGUGAGAUUUUUGGACUGGAACUCUCUUGUUCAGCAAUGAGCGAGAGGGACUCUGGGAAGCUAUUCUAACUGUAUCAUUUAGAGGAAGUAAAAGUCGUAACA
rnacentral:rRNA from 1 species